UGUAGCAUCAACUUACUGUGCUUGGUUUAUCAUCAGAUAGUAUUACCUUGUGGUCAACACUGGGGCAGUCCUGCAUCAGAUUCAGGGCUUUGUUUUUCAAGCAAUUGCUAAUAACAUGAAUAUAGAUUUUGAAUUGUAGCUGUUCUGUAAGAUACAAUACUGCACAGUAAGACUGAAGCUUGAAAAGAUGUAGCUACAGGGGGCACUUAUUCAACAAAAAUGGCUUUUAAGCACUUAGCUUAAGGUCCUGCUGGCUGCCUCCUCUUAUACAAGACAACAUAAAUAGUCCCAGCUUUGGAUGGAUUUCUACAGCUCUUCUAAACUUCCUUGGAAGAGCAGUGUUUUGUCUUAGUCAGGUCACUGGUUUCUCACACUGUAUGAGAACACUUUGGGAAAGGCUCAUUCUGGGCAAUAAACACUGAAUGUACCUGAA